rnacentral:rRNA from 1 species
CCUACGGGAGGCAGCAGUGGGGGAUAUUGCACAAUGGGGGAAACCCUGAUGCAGCGACGCCGCGUGUGGGAAGACGGUCCUCUGGAUUGUAAACCACUGUCCCCAGGGACGAAGAUGACGGUACCUGGGGCGGAAGCUCCGGCUAACUACGUGCCAGCAGCCGCGGUAAUACGUAGGGAGCAAGCGUUGUCCGGAAUUACUGGGUGUAAAGGGAGCGUAGGGGGGAUGGUAAGUUGGGUGUGAAAUCUACCGGCUCAACUGGUAGUCGCACUCAAAACUGCGAUUCUUGAGUGAAGUAGAGGCAGGCGGAAUUCCGAGUGGAGCGGUGAAAUGCGUAGAUAUUAGGAGGAACACCAGUGGCGAAGGCGGCCUGCUGGGCUUUUACUGACGCUGAGGCUCGAAAGUGUGGGGAUCAAACAGGAUUAGAUACCCCUGGUAGUC